GAGCACAAACGUGUCGACACGGCAUAGGGACCGUCAUAAGCCCAGCCAGAGCCUAUCCUUUGCUCUCCGCCCCGCCCCUCAGUGUGUUUUGAUAGGAUGACUGAAGAGUCGGUUCAGUGGAGGCAAGGUACCACACGGUACGACUGCGACUACCGCCGGCGGCGACGUCGUCGCGGCCUGGUUAGGAAGAAGAGGGCGAGGGCGGCGGGGUGCGUCGGCGGAUCGGACAAGUUUCGGCCGGCGAGGCGGGAGGGCGGCGACACACCGUCGCCAGUCUCGGUAGUGAGGAGCGUGACAGCGACAGUGACGAGGACCUCGUCGUGGGGCGUGCGUGCGGCCUCGUCGGUUACGGCACGGUCACGCUGCGGCCUGGUGGGCCUGCUCGGCGGCAGCAGCCCCUCUCCGCCGGCAAUGGUAGGAACCCUCCUGUAGCGGCUCUGCGAAGUCGAGCUGCUGCCUCUCGGCCGCGCGGAGUGGCUGCGGCUUAGGCGGGCUUGUUAGCAGCUCCACUUGUUGUUACGUUGCCACUACUAGAGGUGCGAGUAGCUACUGCCACACGUGCUCUCCUAGUAGAACGGCCUCAAGGGGAUGAACUGACUGCUCUUACCUCUAUAAAUGAAGCUCCAGCUGUUGCUGCUGCACCAGUACCUUUUGUAAUACCCGCUGCUGUUCUAACGCGUACAAUAGUAACCUGAGCUAUUGUGUCUACAGAAACGACUGAACCUAGAUCGUCGCCGCAGUAGCUGAAGUAAACGUGUUCUUCUUCUUCUCCUCCUCCUUCUCCUGCUACUAAGGUUGCUAAGACUGCUACUUAUACUCCUCCUCCCAUAUAUACGACAACUACUUCUUCUGCCCCUACUGCUGCCGCUACUACUACUUCUUCUACUGCUACGUGGAUUGACCAGGUUGGAACUUUGGCAUUUAAGGACAGUAGGUGAUAUGAAACGCUCCUACUAACACCUCUUACGCUCGUUUAGUUCAUAUCUAACCAACCUGGCUGGUGGACGUUCGGAACAACAACUCCCAGUCGACUCUGGACGCAAACGACUUCUCUCGUGGUACCAAAGGUCCGUAAAUAAUUUACCACUACUUGGUGAGUUUCUGCUGUUUUUCCCUUCACCCCGAUGUAAAAAGUUCCAACUUCAAGACUCGUAACUCGACUAGUGACGUAUACCAUGUCUCGGGUUCCAUUUCUAUCUUCUUAUGGCCUUUAGAUCUGGGCUGUAGUAGCGCGUGAGACGUGGUUUGUAUUAUAGUGCGAACUCUCGGCCACCUCUGUUCUAUUGUGUUCGAGACUUUAGUGAGACAACCUCCACGUUCCGGUAAGUUCAUCUCCUUCGUCGUUAGUAGCCGCAGCUGACGGAACCCAAACUGAACUCUGACACGAGUCCUUGUGUUCACGUCUGUGACUCUAAACGAAAGGGAUGUUUCCGAUCAAGCCUCAAGUCGCGUCUCUUCGUUUAUGUGCUCGAAGACAAAGGAUCCUCCUAUGUAGUUCUUCCCCUCAGUGGUGUCCGAGUUGGGUUUCUCAUGACUACAUUUGUCUCUACACUGCAAAACAAGAAAAAGAUCCUUUAAAUUAGGUCGUUGUGUUUAUCGUCAUCGGUAGAACUACUUCAAGAAAGCUUAAGUGUAACACUAAAACCAGUAACUCGUAGACGUGCCUGCUGUA
rnacentral:rRNA from 1 species